AGUCGAGCGGACUUUCCGUUCGGGAUAUGGUUAGCGGCGGACGGGUGAGUAACACGUAGGCAACCUGCCUGUAAGAUCGGGAUAACUACCGGAAACGGUAGCUAAGACCGGAUAGCUGGUUUCUCCGCAUGGGGGAAUCAUGAAACAUGGGGCAACCUGUGGCUUACGGAUGGGCCUGCGGCGCAUUAGCUAGUUGGUGGGGUAACGGCCCACCAAGGCGACGAUGCGUAGCCGACCUGAGAGGGUGAUCGGCCACACUGGGACUGAGACACGGCCCAAACUCCUACGGGAGGCAGCAGUAGGGAAUCUUCCGCAAUGGGCGCAAGCCUGACGGAGCAACGCCGCGUGAGUGAUGAAGGUUUUCGGAUCGUAAAGCUCUGUUGCCAAGGAAGAACGCCUCGGAGAGUAACUGCUCUGAGGGUGACGGUACUUGAGAAGAAAGCCCCGGCUAACUACGUGCCAGCAGCCGCGGUAAUACGUAGGGGGCAAGCGUUGUCCGGAAUUAUUGGGCGUAAAGCGCGCGCAGGCGGUCUUUUAAGUUUGGUGUUUAAGCCCGGGGCUCAACCCCGGUUCGCACUGAAAACUGGGAGACUUGAGUGCAGGAGAGGAAAGCGGAAUUCCACGUGUAGCGGUGAAAUGCGUAGAGAUGUGGAGGAACACCAGUGGCGAAGGCGGCUUUCUGGACUGUAACUGACGCUGAGGCGCGAAAGCGUGGGGAGCAAACAGGAUUAGAUACCCUGGUAGUCCACGCCGUAAACGAUGAGUGCUAGGUGUUAGGGGUUUCGAUACCCUUGGUGC
rnacentral:rRNA from 1 species